rnacentral:rRNA from 1 species
GAUGAACGCUGGCGGCGUGCUUAACACAUGCAAGUCGAACGAUGAAGCCCAGCUUGCUGGGUGGAUUAGUGGCGAACGGGUGAGUAACGCGUGAGCAACCUGCCCCUGACUCUGGGAUAAGCGCUGGAAACGGCGUCUAUUACUCGAUAUGUCCCGUCGCCGCAUGGUGUGCGGGUGGAAAGAUGUUUCGGUUGGGGAUGGGCUCGCGGCCUAGCAGCUUGUUGGUGUGGUAAUGGCUCACCACGGCGUCGACGGGCAGCCGGCCUGAGAGGGUGACCGGCCACACUGGGACUGAGAGACGGCCCAGACUCCAACGGGAGGCAGCAGUGGGGAAUAUUGCACAAUGGGCGGAAGCCUGAUGAAGCAACGCCGCGUGAGGGAUGACGGCCUGCGGGUUGUAAACCUCUUUUAGCAGGGAAGAAGCGAAAGUGACGGUACCUGCAGAAAAAGCACCGGCUAACUACGUG